rnacentral:rRNA from 1 species
AGCUGUGACGUUACUCGCAGAAGAAGCACCGGCUAACUUCGUGCCAGCAGCCGCGGUAAUACGAGGGGUGCAAGCGUUAAUCGGAAUUACUGGGCGUAAAGCGUACGCAGGCGGUCUGUUAAGCAAGAUGUGAAAGCCCCGGGCUCGACCUGGGAAUUGCAUUUUGAACUGGCAAACUAGAGUCUUGUAGAGGGGGGUAGAAUUUCAGGUGUAGCGGUGAAAUGCGUAGAGAUCUGAAGGAAUACCGGUGGCGAAGGCGGCCCCCUGGACAAAGACUGACGCUGAGGUACGAAAGCGUGGGGAGCAAACAGGAUUAGAUACCCUGGUAGUCCACGCCGUAAACGAUGUCUACUCGGAGUUUGGUAACUUAGUUACUGGGCUCCCAAGCUAACGCAUUAAGUAGACCGCCUGGGGAGUACGGCCGCAAGGUUAAAACUCAAAUGAAUUGACGGGGGCCCGCACAAGCGGUGGAGCAUGUGGUUUAAUUCGAUGCAACGCGAAGAACCUUACCUACUCUUGACAUCCAGCGAACUUUCCAGAGAUGGAUUGGUGCCUUCGGGAACGCUGAGACAGGUGCUGCAUGGCUGUCGUCAGCUCGUGUUGUGAAAUGUUGGGUUAAGUCCCGCAACGAGCGCAACCCUUAUCCUUAUUUGCCAGCACGUAAUGGUGGGA